rnacentral:misc_RNA from 1 species
CUAUGACUAACAUUCUCCUCACAUGUCUCCUCUACUUAAAGGAUUGAGUCGAUAUAUUUAAAGUGAUUACUUUGGGAUAGUACCACUCCGUCCAAACUAGCUCCUUCCCUAUCACCAGUUUGGCUUUCACUGAACUUGCUAACAAUAGAAGAUAUAAUUGAUCAAAAACCAAAUAAAGGAACAACCAAGAAUUGUCAGACAGAUUUCAACCAAAAUUACAUACAGUUCCAUUCCUGUGUUUCCAUGAAAUUCAUUUCUGUACGACAACAGAACUGCUACCCAUAACAAAAUUAAAUUCAUAGAUUCUUCUUGCAGAACAUCUCAAGAAAAGGAAACAAUUCAGCAAUAUUUCAUAAACAAAGCAAUACAGGGGACCAGAAUCCAAAUUGGGUAACUAAAUGAAUUUGAGAAUAAGGCAGAAAUUCCUCUUACCAAGCAAAUAACUAAGAAUCAGCCAAAAAAAGAGAAAGCUAUAUAUUACACGGAAUAAAGAUUCUUAUAGGUUUUUUCCAAGUCAAUAAUGGAAGAAAUCUAUUUCGCUACAUUCCAUUACAAUCCUACCAAAGUGAGCAUUAAAUCAUCAUAAAAUAUCUUCAACCCUUUCUGUGCAGCUAAAGAGACAGGUUAUGCAUUAGACACACAAUAAACAUUCUUAUAGCUUUUCGCCAAGUCAAUGAUGAAAGUACCUAUUUGACUGCACUCCAUUACAAUCCUACCAAAAGGGGCACUUGCAUCACUACAAGAUAUCUUUAACACUUCGAAUGCGGCUAAAGAGACAGGAUAACCUUUUCUAAAUUUCAGAAAAGUCAUAUAUGCAAUUUGUGCCUAUUCUUUAUUUAUGCCUAUUCUUUUGCUGUUUAUAGUGCACAAAAAGAUACAUACGCUUUGAUAUAAUAGUAAGUAGGUGUUAAUUGGUACUCUAAAUCUGGUACUCUAAAUCUCACUUCCAAACACAACAAAUGGCAUCACAGUCAAAAGUAUCACUCUUUAUGUACAAACAGUAAGAGAACUUUAUUUUUCUUUUUUUUGGAUGAAGAUAAUUUAUAAAUAACAGAGGCAAAAUGUUAGUGAUGUUGGUAAUGAAGCUUUCUGAAAUAGCCAGACCACUCUUUUAAUUCAGUAAAUAUCACUAACCACAGCUCUUUUCUGCACCAAAUAAAGAAUGAACCAAUAAAGAAAUUGCUGAAUAUCAUGUCUAAACCAAUUAGGAUGUAAGAUAGUUAUUUCUUUCCUUUGGGAAGAUUGAGCAGGAAUGGUGGAUCCUAAUAUACUACAUUUCUCCCUAAAACAUAAUGCAAAAUUAAAGUAAGAUCAACAAUCCAAGGAAAAAAAACCCCAAAAUAAAAUCUACAUCAACAGAUAAAAAUCAUACAAAAAUCCAAUAAUUUUGCAUAAUCAAAUAAGCAAAAAAACAUCAUAAAAAAAUAACAAAAGUUAUAAAAUUAACAACUAUAAGUAAAUAAUGAAGAAAGGUAAAUGCAUGACAUACCGAAAGAAGAAAACCAAAAACCCAAUGAUGGAAACACAAAACAAAAACACUAAGAAAAGAAGUAGAAGUUUUAAGAAGAAAUUAAAACAUGUCAAAUGGUACAAAACAAUUAUAGAAACAUACAAACAUAGUACAAGAAGCGUGAAAAAUGAAAUGAUUGCCAAGAGCAUGCUUAAAAGAAGAAUAAUUAAUUCACUAUUUGGCAUGGGAAAAUCGGUAAAAAAAAAGGUAAACCUAAUCAUGAAAUUAAAAAGAAUAGAAAUCACCUGUUACCCAUCAAAUCAAGAAGAAGCAAAUCAACUUGAAGAAGCAAAAGGGUGUAGAAGGAGAUGCUUUGCCACCAAAUCGCAAUUGAGUCAUAUGAGAUGAAGACUUUGAAAAAAAAAAGAGAAAAAGGCUAAAAAAAAAGAAAACAGCAAAAAAGGGAGAACAGAGGUGGGAAAUGGCAAGCAGAACAUUGAAAUGGCGUCGUUUUUCGAAGAGGAUGUCUCAAUUAGGGAAUGGAAAAGAAUUCAGCGUGCAAGGAAGGGAGAAAAAAAAAUAUAACCUGAAGAACAGCAUCAUUUAAUUGAAGGAGGGGAGAAAAAAAAAAGGUAUAAAGUUGCACAAAAUAACCAAAUCGCUGCUCAAUUGCCACUAUUCCUUAGAGCAAUAAUUUUGGCAUGGAAAUGUACCAGAAAUUGUGGUAAAGGAACUGUUCGCUAUAUGGACCUUUUCUUUUACUGAGCAUGGGGAAUAGGUAGAGCAUUUAUUUGAAAAGUUUGUCAUAUGUUUGUUUGUUCUAUGUUUGUUUGUUCCAAAAUCUAUAAAUCAACAAGAUUUAUCAAAUUUAGCAAGAAAAACAUUGCUAGAUUUGACAAAAUUUGAAAAGACAACUCUGAAAAAUUGAGAUUCAAGCCAAGACAGCAAACAUCUUAAAACUGAUCUUCUUCAUUGAAAAUUUUGUUCCUUCAGUAAUCCACUUUUUUAGACAUAUUCACUUAUGGUCAGGUCAAGGACAAGAGUUGAGUAGUGGCGCGGCACACAAGAAAAAGCUGAAAAUGAAAGGUCCAUGAGUUGUGAACAGUACCUCGUGAACAGUGCACAUAAACAGUGUGCGUGAACAGUGCCAAUGUAUAGUACUAAAAACUGUCCUAAUAAUCGAAUGCUCUUAUACGAAGGUGAAAAAAAUUGAUAUUUGAGGGAAUUUUCUGUAUUUCUUAAUGGUAAGAAAUGAUAUACAAAGCUCGUACUUGUAUACAAAGAAUCAUACCUAAGUAGGAAACUGAAAAAAUAAGAAGCUGACUACAACAGGAAAAUACAAUUAAUGCCUAAU